CAGAGAAUAGUUUAACUAAAAUAUUAGUUUUGGAGACUAGAGAUGUAUCUUUAUUUCGCUGA
rnacentral:tRNA from 1 species